CUCUCUCUCUCUCUCUCUCUCUCUCUUCUCACAAGAUCAAGACUUUGUAUUCUUAAAACACUUCCAAUCCGAAUCUUCCAACCGAAAAUCCUACUACCUCGGGACUCUGUCUCUGUCUCCUGUCUGUCACACACAGUUUUCUCUUCACACUUGUUUAAUCCUUCCAAUUAUCUCAAUGAAACUUUCCAAAUUGACACAUUCAAAAUCAAAAUCAAAAUCAAAAUCACCCCUUUAUUUCAAUUUCCAUAAUGGGUAUUAUGUUUGUUUCGAUCCAUCACACAAUUUCACACUCUCCAUUACUCAUCACAUUUUUUGUUUCCAUCUUUACUCACACUCCAUGAUUUCUCUCAUCAUUUCAUGCCUUAAAUAG